GACGAACGCUGGCGGCGUGCUUAACACAUGCAAGUCGAACGGAAAGGCCCUGCUUUUGUGGGGUGCUCGAGUGGCGAACGGUGAGUAACACGUGAGUAACCUGCCCUUGACUUUGGGAUAACUUCAGGAAACUGGGGCUAAUACCGGAUAGGAGCUCCUGCUGCAUGGUGGGGUUGGAAAGUUUCGGCGGUUGGGGAUGGACUCGCGGCUUAUCAGCUUGUUGGUGGGGUAAGUGGCUUACCAAGGCUUUGACGGUAGCCGGCCUGAGAGGGUGACCGGCCACAUUGGGACUGAGAUACGGCCCAGACUCCUACGGGAGGCAGCAGUGGGGAAUAUUGCACAAUGGGCGGAAGCCUGAUGCAGCAACGCCGCGU
rnacentral:rRNA from 1 species